ACAACCAACACGUUCUCCCCACACGACUCUCUCGUUCUCCCCACAGCCAGGUCUCCAGCUGGGGUGGACGUGCCCACCAGCCGCCGAAGGCCAGGACGCCAGGUCCGGUGGACGUGACAAGCAGGACGUGACAUGGUCCGGUGUGACGGCGAGGACAGAGGAGGCGCGUCCGGCCUUCCUGAACACCUUAGGCUGGUGGGGCUGCGGCAAGAAGCGGGUCUGUUUCUUUACUUCCUCCACGGAGUCGGCACACUAUGGCUGCCCUCUGGGCUCCCAGAACCCACAACAUGAAAGGUGAGGGGCUUCCUGCCACACUUGGGGUGGGGGGCACGCGAGAGGAGCUGAGUGGGACCUCACUCCUUCCCCAUCCACAGAAAUGGUGCUACCCAGCUCAAGCCUGGGCCUUUGAAUCCGGACACAAAACCCUCUAGCUUGGAAAUGAAUAUGCUGCACUUUACAACCACUGCACUACCCGACUCAGGAAUCGGCUCUGGAAGGUGAAGCUAGAGGAACCAGACCUCAUCAGCCCAACAUCAAAGACACCAUCGGAACAGCAGCGCCCGCAGCACCCACCCCGCACCGGCGACUCCAUCUUCAUGGCCAC
rnacentral:lncRNA from 1 species